UCCCCGAUAGCUCAGUGGGUAGAGCGUCCGGCUGUUAACCGGAAGCGCGGCGGUUCGAGGCCGUCUCGGGGAGCCA
rnacentral:tRNA from 1 species